rnacentral:tRNA from 1 species
GGACCAGCAUGGCAUAGUGGUUUGAGUGUUGGACUACAAUUCUGGAGACCAGGGUUUGAUUCCCAGCUCAGCCA